rnacentral:rRNA from 1 species
CAGGACGAACGCUGGCGGCGUGCCUAAUACAUGCAAGUCGAACGGUCUUUCUAUGGAAGCUUGCUUCCAUAGAGAAGAUAGUGGCGAACGGGUGAGUAACACGUGGGUAACCUGCCCAUAAGAGGGGGGAUAACAUCCGGAAACGGGUGCUAAUACCGCAUAGUUUUCUUGAUCGCAUGAUUGAGAAAGGAAAGACGGCCUUUGUGCUGUCGCUUAUGGAUGGACCCGCGGCGUAUUAGUUAGUUGGUGAGGUAACGGCUCACCAAGACGAUGAUACGUAGCCGACCUGAGAGGGUGAUCGGCCACAUUGGGACUGAGACACGGCCCAAACUCCUACGGGAGGCAGCAGUAGGGAAUCUUCCGCAAUGGACGAAAGUCUGACGGAGCAACGCCGCGUGAGUGAAGAAGGUUUUCGGAAUCGUAAAACUCUGUUGUCAGAGAAGAACAAGUUGGAGAGUAACUGCUCCAGCCUUGACGGUAUCUGACCAGAAAGCCACGGCUAACUACGUGCCAGCAGCAGC